UUCACUGCUCUAUGUUCUCUGCUCAUAUAUGGCCCUGUGACCUGAAGGUAUUGGGAGAUCCCUAAGUCAAACACCAGGAUCCCUGGAAGCCAGGAAAUGAAGCUGUUGACAUUAUGUGGCCAUAGAAUUCUCUCUGGAGAAGUGGAAAUUCCUCGACCCUGCUCAGCAAAAUUUGUAUAGGGAUGUGAUGUUAGAGAACUAUGGAAACUUGUUCUCCAUUGGCCUCACUGUCUCUAAGCCAGGUUUGAUCACCUGCCUAGAGCAAAGAAUAGAGCCCUGGAAUGUGACAAGACAUGAGACAGUAGUCAAACAUUCAGCUAUGUCUUCUCAUUUGACCCAAGAUCUUUAGCCAGAGCAAUGCACAAAAGAUUCAUUAAAAAAAAAAUACCAAUACUGAGAAGGUAUGGAAACUGUGGUGGUCAUUAUAAUUUACACUUAAGGAAAG
rnacentral:lncRNA from 1 species